rnacentral:rRNA from 1 species
AUUGAACGCUGGCGGCAUGCCUUACACAUGCAAGUCGAACGGCAGCAUAGGAGCUUGCUCCUGAUGGCGAGUGGCGAACGGGUGAGUAAUAUAUCGGAACGUGCCCUAGAGUGGGGGAUAACUAGUCGAAAGAUUAGCUAAUACCGCAUACGAUCUAAGGAUGAAAGUGGGGGAUCGCAAGACCUCAUGCUCGUGGAGCGGCCGAUAUCUGAUUAGCUAGUUGGUGGGGUAAAAGCUCACCAAGGCGACGAUCAGUAGCUGGUCUGAGAGGACGACCAGCCACACUGGGACUGAGACACGGCCCAGACUCCUACGGGGGGCAGCAGUGGGGAAUUUUGGACAAUGGGGGCAACCCUGAUCCAGCAAUGCCGCGUGAGUGAAGAAGGCCUUCGGGUUGUAAAGCUCUUUUGUCAGGGAAGAAACGGUGAGAGCUAAUAUCUCUCGCUAAUGACGGUACCUGAAGAAUAAGCACCGGCUAACUACGUGCCAGCCGCCGCCGUAA